rnacentral:rRNA from 1 species
AUUGAACGCUGGCGGCAGGCCUAACACAUGCAGGUCGAGCGGUUGACGGGGGCUUGCUCCCUGAUUCAGCGGCGGACGGGUGAGUAAUGCCUAGGAAUCUGCCUAUUAGUGGGGGACAACGUUUCGAAAGGAACGCUAAUACCGCAUACGUCCUACGGGAGAAAGCAGGGGACCUUCGGGCCUUCCGCUAAUAGAUGAGCCUAGGUCGGAUUAGCUUGUUGGUGAGGUAAUGGCUCACCAAGGCGACGAUCCGUAACUGGUCUGAGAGGAUGAUCAGUCACACUGGAACUGAGACACGGUCCAGACUCCUACGGGAGGCAGCAGUGGGGAAUAUUGGACAAUGGGCGAAAGCCUGAUCCAGCCAUGCCGCGUGUGUGAAGAAGGUCUUCGGAUUGUAAAGCACUUUAAGUUGGGAGGAAGGGUUGUAGAUUAAUACUCUGCAAUUUUGACGUUACCGACAGAAUAAGCACCGGCUAACUCUGUGCCAGCCGCCGCCGUAA